GAAAGAGACACGAUGGUGGUAGACGCAGAAGACCGAAAGGCUCAGCCUCUCACCAGACUUGAAAAUGAACGGAAGUUACAGUGGUUUCGUCUAAAUCAUUAAAUUCUAGUUCGCACUAAAUGUAAUUAUGACAACGACUACUAUGGCAAGGAGAUGGCGGUAAUAACAAAGAAGUGAGAAAGAGAAUGACAACGACAAAAGAAAAUGAAAAAAGAAUUGUCUUGAAAUAAACGUACAAUGUUUGUGUUUAAUAUAUACAUAUCUUGUAAACACUGUUUUUCCUUCCACUUUUACUCACACUUCUCCUCUUCCGGCUGCUUGCAGUUAUCAACGUCCAGGCAGGCAGUGGCAGUCAAUGCAUCCAAGCUAACAGGCGGCGAUUCUUUCUUUAUGUGCUCUUUCACAGUCCCAAUCGACUCACCUCAUAUCAUCUCUGAUGAUGUAUGUCAUGACUCAGCAACUAGCUUAUCUUACAAUGAAAAUAUCUGGCUGAAAACUUGCAACCGUUAAAGAUCGUUCCUCUCAUUAACUAAUCAUAUGUUAUGGUGAUGCAUGAUAAAUGCUUUACAAGAAUAACGAGCGAACGAAUUUUGCCUAUUGUUGUUAAGCUGCAGUUAAUAAACAACAGUAAACAAAUAUGUUACACGAGACAAUAAAGGAGUCCGAAAGACCUGCCAGAAAUAGUAACCAAAUCGCCCUCGAAUCACACAAAUGUGUUUAAAAAAGAACACAUAAUGUAGUUCUGUUCUUUUCUGUUAAUUAUGUAAGAUUGCUAUUUGUAUUUAUGCAAUAAACGCAACGGUCUCUAAUUCGUUGCAAAUGUAAGAUCUUGACUGACAACACAAAUAUACAAAUGUAUACCUCUUCUGUCGAAAACUUAUUUCAGGGAAGUAAAUUGGAGUAGCAGUUUAAGGUUUGCAGUAUAUUGGUUUAUGGUAACUUAUGGUUUGCAGUAUAUUAUGAAUGGAAAACAUUGAACAGCAACACGAGGAAACAUUUUGGAAUAUGUAUGAGAAAGCAAUAUAAGUUAUAAAAAAUUAUGAAAAUAUUGAUACACUGCAAAAAAGAAACCACUGUGAAGCAUAGACUCAGGUGAAAUUCCUCUCUCCCAUUUAUUGUAUAUACGUGCAUUUGAACGUAGCAGGGAACAACUAGCCUUUGGCCACUAUUUGUAUCCUGUUGUAUCCACUACUCUGGUUGGUAUUGGCGCAAUUUGUCUUUUACUUGAUUACACCAACUUGCCGUGUAUAACCAAUCGGAGGCUUUAAAAAGGAUUACAUAGGACAGCCUGUUUACUACCCUGUUUGAAUCUACAGUUCCUUAUAAAAACUCAGCUUUUCGUCAUUCUGAGGUCUUUGAUUCCAGACCUUUUUAGGUCUAGCCACUGACCACAAAGACACAGGCAUUUAGGGCGACAGCACCAAAUGACACCACCACUACCACAGCAGCUACGUUGAGACUUACCAACUUCGUGCAACAGCAUUACGGCAACCUCUUUCAUCGCCACCAUCAAAUGUCGUCAACAUCAUCUCUCUAUAUACACAGCUCAGUUCACUGUCUGAAUUAUUUCACUACGAAUCAACAGUGAAUAUACAACCUGCAUGAACUCCUGUAUCAAGUGACCCAGGCAGUAGCAUCAUAGUCAUGACGUCACGUAUGACAUGUACCUGUAACUGACUCAGCAUCAUGGCUGCGACUUCUGGAUAGAGUAUUUCAACUAUUGUGCAUGACUGACUAUGAACUGAUAUUAUCUUUUUUGUGCCUAUGAGCUUACUUCUCACUUCGAUGGUUAUAGACUCUGUCACUGUCUUCUUAGUGCCAUCCUUAAAUGUACUUAACACACGUGCAUACAUCUAUGCCUACACACACAUACACUUUGUUCUCAUGAUGGCCUGUCUAUUAUUCUGUAUACAUGAUGCACACAUGGACACACAUGUUACUACAUCAAUGAAUGUUCUCUUAACCAUU